UACGGAAGGGGGUAGCGUUGUUCGGAAUCACUGGGCGUAAAGCGCGCGUAGGCUGUUUGAUAAGUCAGACGUGAAAUCCCUCGGCUCAACCGGGGAACUGCGUUUGAUACUGUCGAACUCGAGUCCUGGAGAGGGUGGCGGAAUUCCUGGUGUAGGAGUGAAAUCCGUAGAUAUCAGGAGGAACACCGGUGGCGAAGGCGGCCACCUGGACAGGUACUGACGCUGAGGUGCGAAAGCGUGGGGAGCAAACAGG
rnacentral:rRNA from 1 species